CAGAGUGACAAUCCUGGAGCAGGGGACACGUGGAGCUGGACAUCCCAAACACCGGAUGCUGGCCAGUUCAUCACCUGUGGGUGCUUCCUGCCCCAUCCAGGAGAUGCAGAGCCCAAGCCUGGUGGUGUGGAGAAGCGAGCUCCAAGCAGGAAUCCGUGGGGUUGGAGCUCCCUGCCCCGCUCUCCUCGCUGGUGCUGCUGCAGAGAGACAACAAAACGUGGGAGCUGCUCCUCCAGCCCCCCGGAAUCCACGUCAGGUCCUGCUGGGAACGCCCCACGGGCUCUGCCAGGACAGAAAGAGGUGUUUACUCCUUCCUGCAGGAUUCCUGGAUCCCUUCUCCAAACCCCCUUCUCAGGCCGGCACGUCUCUGCGUCAAUCCCGCUGCAAGGUUUUAUCUGUGCGGGUUGUGAGCGCCGGCUGGGCCGUGAAAUGUCCAUAAUUAAAUUGGGGAAAUCUACGGGGUUCUAUAGAGACACUCUAAGAAAUCAAAUAGAAACAGAAGAGUCCUGGCCAACUUCUGUUGGCCUGUAGACUUGUUAGGGAUUCCACAGGAUGAAUGUGAAUAUUCCUGUCCAAAAACAUCCCGUUAAGACUAUUUUAUUUUAAUCACAGCUGCACUAAAAACCACACAGUUCUCUCACACCAUCCAAUCACCUUCCCUGAUAGGGUGGAAACCCAUUUUUCCUGAUUUUUAUUACAACCAUCUCGAAGACAGACGUGCCAAGGGCUGAGGGAAGGUUUGAGGUUCCCGCUGCAUCCACCACGUUUGUGUUCCACCCCAAAAACCUGCACGAGGCUGUGGGGCCACUCCAGCCAAAGCAGCUGUGCUCUGAGCAGAGCAGGUAGGACCUGCCAGCUUUAUUUGGAGGAGGGAGAGGGUGUCUGAGGCUGGGUCUGAUGCUCUCAUAUUAAUGAACUGCUCUGUUCGGGAUCAAUCCACGCCACCGCUGCUUUUAUUGACUUUAUAAUUAGCAGUAUCUUCCUUUUGCUGGAAUAAAGCUGUUUUACCCAAUUUAAAAUCUAUCCUU
ensembl:lncRNA